ACACUCCUUUUCUAUAGUGCCAUAAAUAACUUUGCCUUUACUUCUUGUAUUUGUACAUUCAAAACUCCUCUUUUUGCCUUGCUUCAUCUCUUCUCUGGAUUGUUGCAGAUUCUGCAAUUCAGAGCCUUCUCAACAUGGGGGCUCCCCUGCAUUCUCAAUUACUACUAUCUCUCUGCAGCCUCAGUUUACUUCUCCUUUCGUUCAAAGUCCAAUUAACUUAUCCCAUGUCAACAAUUACAGCAAUGGCCAAAGACCAAAUAGCCUGCACAAUGUGCUCCUCGUGUGACAACCCAUGUCAGCCAAUCUUCUCUCCACCACCACCGUCACCUCUGCUUCCAUGCCCUCCUCCACUAUCACCGCCGCUGCCACCACCUCUGCCCCCACCCUCGGACUAUAAUUAUCCGCCGCCUCCUUCACCUCCCAGUUCUUGCCCGGGAGACUGCUCUCAACCUCUAUCGCCACCUUAUAAUGGCGGUGGUGGUCGCGGUGAUGGUAACUACGUCUAUCCUCCGACCAACCCUUCUAUAUAUCCAACUCCUCCACCUCCAAACCCCAUUGUACCGUAUUUCCCUUUCUAUUAUUACAACCCUCCUCCACCUGAUACACUUAUCUCCAAAUCCAUUCAAUUUCAAAGCCAUCCUUUUAUCACUUGUCUCAUUCUUGCCAUGGCCAUUUUCCUGCUUCUUUGACCUUAAAACAAGAGCAGAACAUUACAAUGUAACUGUUUUUAAAAAAUCUUGUUUACUUUGUUCCUUCUAUAUAUCCAAUUUGACUAUAUAUUUCAGGUUUAGGUAAUCUUCGUAAUGCCGCGGCAAGAAGAAAUUAAGGCCAGGGGAUAGAGAGGAGGAACAAGAAAUGGUGGACAAAUAAACUGGGCCACCAAAUUGCCAUGGGAAAAAAAAGAAUGUUUAUUUGAUGUCAUCUCGAUAUUCUUCUAAAAAAGAAUCUUUUGCACAUGUGGCAGUAGAAUAAUAUAGCUCUAAGUGUUCUUACUCAUGAGUCACAUUCUUACUACAUUUAAUUUACAUGAUUGUUGAUAGGACUAAAUCUUUUUUUUUCUUGUUGUAUACAUGCACUCAUCCUAUAUAUACUUGAAAAUCUCUGAUUAUCCUAAUAUUCAUGUUUCAAAUUGUUCAAUGACAAAUAUAUCAUUUCCUUUUGCUUUGUCAAUAUAGGCAUAUUUAGCAUUUAGAGUUGGCGAGUGGUCUAAGUAUAUAUAUAUAUAGCUCAAGUCGAACUAAACCUGCGCGCAGUUGUCAAUCGACCUGGUUUGUUAAUUGGCGCGCGGAUUUUGUUCAUAGAGAGGAAACGAAGUACUAGAAGAUUUUGUUCAGUAGUAAAGAGAUACUCUGAUGCAGUGGAGGGCUCUCAAGAAAUAAGAAAUAGUAAGAAACUAAGAAUCAUGUGGCUUACGUGCAGUUAACUUUUGUUUGGAUAGUGUGGAGAGCCAAUGGGAGAUUCUCUUUUGGUUUUACUUUCAUAUGCCGUAUGACCCUAAAUUUUUACCUCCAUAUUGCCAUAUGCCUCAUAUAUCCAUGUAUACUGGACUGGGGCAUGGGCACAUAAUAGGGCUUAAUUAAUAUGCUGACACCACCGCCUUCUUCUCUUUUUUGGGCCAAAAAACUUCAAACUUUUCAUUUCUCAACAUCAGCCCGAAUGGAAGGUAAUAUAGGUACUACUACUACUUAUCCAAACGCAAGGGAUCAUGACAACAAAACAUUCACUAAGGAAUAACUUAGCAAGAAGAAGGAAUAUAACAUUGGCAAGAGGAUAUACAUGUGGAGUAUUCUUCCAUCUUAAGGAAUGUCAAAUUAUGACCCUUAAAAUUGGGUUUCUGAAGGACGUUCAACAUGUCUUAUAAUCUACCAAAUUUGACGUUUGUCCAAUGCUGAGAUGUAAAAGCAUGGGAAAUGAACAUGAUAAGUAUCCCAGAAGUAAAUUCGUGGAUGAACGAUGAGCGUUCAAUUUUAGUCAAGGAUCCAACUGAAGUGUGAAAUACUUUGUGUGGAGAAUGAAGUGGCAUGAAUGAAACUCAAAGAAAUUGAUAGGGUUGCACAAAUGGUGGCGAGCAUCAUGUGAUUUAAUUCGAUACAGCUCAUGAAACCUCAGCUUGUAUGUGUAUAUAGACUGGUUAUUCUCUAAUUUAUAGUAAUAGAUUGAAUAACAUGCAUGUGAAUAUGAUGUUUUGUACUUCAAUGUCGCACAAGAAGGGGCGAUUUGUGUGAUGUCCAAUUUUUGCGUGCACAGAUUAUAGAAGGACCUGAUUCUUCUAUGUGUUUCUUAUACUAUUAUUGCGAAAAUAAUAAAUGCGGAAAGUAAAGAACACAAGUAUUUUUAUGUGAAAAACACCCGGCUCAAAAGGUGAAAAAAUCACGACCUACUACUCAGUAGGAUUUUCCCCAACACUUCACUAAAUCACUGAGCCAAAACACCAUUUACAAAAUUCUUUGUAAACCUAAGGAUUACCUCUAAUUCCGUUAUGGCAACUAGCCUCUAACUGUUGCGACAACUUCAAGUUAACUCUAACUUCAAUACAAUACAUAGAGUACCUAAUACAAUUGCUUCUAGAUAAAGCUAAAAGGUACAACUUGUAAACACCUACUACAAUUGAACUUUAAUAAAAGACAUACACUUGGAAUUGGUUCUUCUAUCUGGUUCAUGUAGCUACAGGUUCGCACACUUGAAUCACACAAGAAUUGCUUGCAAAAUGUCUUGCUAUUUUGCUCUCAACUCACGUUUAACUUCAACAUUUGUGUGUACCUGUAAAGUGAGAACAUACUGUAAUUUAUAGAGUUGGUAGAAUAGGAAAUAACUAGAGUUUUAAUGCUAUACUCUUCCUUGGUGGAAGAGUUCUAGUUAUCUUCAACUUCUAACUCCUCCCUUGGAUAAAGUUCUCUUCGAGUAAGGAGUCUUUCUCCUUAUCAUUUAUGCAACUUUUUUGAUCAAGAGAUAUCAAAUAUAACAAUUUAAGUUUAUCUCCUUCACGUGCAUCCCUUAUGCCUAAAUCUAUCCGUAUCUGUGUACAUUGUGUAUGCAGAGGCUUAUCCAGGAUUUUAAGAAGAUGGGUGCACUCUACUACCAUUUGAUUUAAUUUCAUAAAAAUUUGCCAUGAUAACAACUUAGACUAGUAAACUUUAGUUAAUACACGAGAAAUAUCAUUUGAUCUACAAUCGUCUUAACAAGUUUUUAUACUUUGACAGCAGUCAACGACAACAUCAUUAUUUGAAAAAAUUUACUUCCCAAAUAAAAAAAUUGAAGGAAAAAAAAAAGGAGAAAAACAAUAAGGAAAUUGGAAAAAAUGUAACCUUUGUAAAAAAUUUGUAUUUUACCUAUAUACCUAAUAACGUUUUGUAGCUUCGCUCCUGAUUUUGAUAAUUAGGGAAUGAAUAAAAAAGAACAUAAAGAAAUGACCCCAAAACAAAACAUAAAAGGGAGAGAAGACCCUAAAAAAGGGGGAAAAGAGAAAUAAUAAAACGGAACCAAAAUAAAAAAGAAAGAAAAGGAAAAAACUCGAAAAGAAAGAAAGGACAAAGGAAAGAAAAAGACAAACAGAAAACCGGGACGUCACUUUCAUCUCAACAUACGUAAGAUUGUGAAUAGCUUAAAGUUAAAGAGCGAGCCUCAAAUUCACAAGAAUGACUAACCAACAUAUAUAUUUUUUUAGAUUCAAAAGAAGGAAGGGUAUCAUAUAUUUACAAUAUUUAGCACAUGCUUGAAGCUACACAGUCAACACCAAAUAAGUCAAGACAUUUUAUGCUACUGCCAUAGUUCUACUAUUACACCCUUGGAAAAGAACCCGUCGAAGAAAAACCAAAGGGAAUUCAUUGCUAAACUACAAGAGGUUAUAUACAAACAUGGGGUACAACACAAUAUUUAUACAAAACAUGGAGUACAGGAUCAUGAUCAUAACUACCCCACCCCCAACCAAAGAUCAUGCAUUGUCCCUAAUGCAUAUAUAAAGCAAAAGAAAGCUAAGGGACUCCCUGGGGCGCACUAGGCACUCGAGGAAGCUGAAGGAUCUAGGGUAGCUGUGUGAUCGGCUGCUGGGAGUGAAACUGCAGCUGGUGAAAUCAAUAUCCAUGUCUGGGACAGAAGUGUCAGCACCCUGCUCUCCAUCCUUCGGGAGGAAGGCUAUCAAAUCAAACUCUAAACUCUACAUCUUCUGCAGCUCAGCUUUCAAGACAUUAACAUCUUUCCGGAGCUAAGGCAUACCUCCAAGCUCACCCCGUUCAACCUUUUCAAGAUGUGAUUCAACGCUCUUGAGGUGAUCCUCAUAAGUUUGAUGUUACUGUUGAAGAACAGUCAUUGAGGAUUGGAUAGGGGUCAAUGUUUGACGGAUGAGGUUGGGAAUUUCCUUGGUAAGCCGGUCUACCUUAGCAUUGGCAUGCUGAGCAAGUAGACCCAGCUUGGACAGAGCUGGUAAAGGGACUUGGGCCUGUGCAGUGGAGGGUUGUGGAAUGGCUGUGGAGGUAGCUGGGGCCUGAGAGGUGUCCGGCAAUGCUGGGCCCUCUGAUGCUGCUAUAUCUGCUGGAGGAGGAAUGAGAGUCUCUGACUGAGUUGCAGUUUCCUUUGCUACUGCGUCACUGAUUCUCAUGAUGUCGAUGUCUUUGGUAGCCUUCUCCAUUUUGUCAUGCCUAGGCAGAUGAGGCACACUUGCUGCUUGGCAAAAAGCAGUGAUCAAGCAGGGGAAAGGAAGUGAGGUUUGUUUCUAGUUGGCUCUAAUUCCCAGCUCUUGGAAUAUUAUCUCCCCCACAUCAAUCUUGAUCCCUGUCAUGAUGCACGCAAUGAGGAGUGCUUUCUCAAUAUUGAUAUCAGUUUCAUUUCUGGACGGCAUCAGACGGGAUGUAACAAACCUAAGCCAGUAGCGACCCUCCCUUGUGAGAUGAUCCUUGAAAAUUUUGUGUUUAGGGUCAGUCUAGGCCGGUCUCCCCUUUGUUAUGAGGGAGGCAACCCAGGAACGCUCAUUGUGUUUGUUGGCGACCUUAGCAUCAUAUUCAGCUGUGUAUGACCGCCAAUCCUCGAAAUACCGUUCAUUGAUCGUCUCAGCACCACAACUAACUUCAACCCAUCGCAAUAGGACAGACUUUGAAAAGAUCAUGUUGCGCUUCUGUGAAGCACUCCUUGAGGCACCAUAUGAAGCAUAAAACUCCCUCACAACUGACUCAUUUUAUUCAUCCGGGACCUCAGUGAAGAACUCCCACUUCCUCUACUUGAUGUUCUCGAGUAUGUGAGGGUAAUGCUCCAACAGUCCAUUUAAGCUCAAUUGCUUUUUGUCGAGAAUUUUCCUCUUUGAAAGCCCUGAUUUGUAUAAAUAUAGGGAGCCCAUGACCUCAAACCGGAGGUUAAGGUCCUCCUCUAGCUUCCUUCGUGCCUCAGUCUGUAGAUCAACAGUAGGUCCGAGGUCACUCUAUGACUCCUCCUCUUCAGACUAGGAGGAGUGCUCCGUAGUAAUGCGGAGUGCAUGAGCCCACUUACGUUUGGCUUGUGUUGCAGGUUGGCUAGGAUUUGCAGCCCUUUUUUUGUCUACGACUGGGCAUUGAUUGUAUUGGAUUGGACUUCUUUGGUUCCAUUCCUGUUGAUGAAACAUUGUAGGAGUGAGUGAAAUAGGUUAGGGAAAGUCAUCAGAGACAAAAGAAAAAGAACAAAAUAAAAAAAAAAUUAAACCUACUAUGCAAUGGGUUAUGCGGAUCGCAUAACCAUCGCAUAUGUGUAGAAGAAUAAAGUCAUCAACAGUUAUGCAAUCACAAAACCAACCGUAUAAGUGGUUAUGCGAUCGCAAAGUGACCGCAUAAUGGAAGGCUAGAAAGCCUGAAGUUCUGCCUCAGUCAGCGGCACAUAUACGGACCGCAUAACAGGUCUGUGAUCGCAAAAGCAAUCGUAUAACCUGUUCUAACUUAGGGCAAGGUAGGGGUCAUAUGCGAUGAUUAUGAGGACCGCAAAGAGAUUAUGCGGCCCGCAGAAGUCAUCUUCUUCACAAAAAUUUUCCUUUCCCAAAUCACGUAGGUUCCCAUUGACACCCAUUUAAAAUCUAAAGCCCAUUGCUCAAUUUUACAAGAGAGAGAGGGGUACUCAGACUUCCCCCUCUUUGGUUUGAGAAAAUAACACACAAACAAUUCCUCAAUUCACUCCUCACCAAAGAAAAUCAAAAGCCCAUACUAUACUAUCAUGCCAGUUACCAAUUUAACCCAUUUUGACCAUUUAUAAGCACACAACUUCAGAUAUUCAUGGCAUUCGAGUUAGGUUAGAUUCACAAGAGGCAGAACAAGAAGGAAGAACGAGAGUGAAGAGAAGAGAAUAGAAACCAGAAGUCAUACCUGAAACUCGAGGAUUUGAAAAUGGAAAUGAGAAAUACUGUGAGUUUGUUUUGAUCCUUUCCUGGUUCGUCCUUAGCAUAUUUUAGUAUUCUUUUCUUCUUCUUUUUUUCUUUCCUUUAUUUUUCUUGAUUUUGUUCAAACGUGAGUGUGUGCAGAGAGUGGGUUAGGUUUAUAUCUGGCAGAUAGGCGCAUAAGUUCAUUGCAUAACACAAUAUGCGAUCGCAUAAGUGUUAUGCAGUGGACUUGUGACUGGGCAGCCUAGAAAUAAUAUGCGAUGCAAAAUGCGAUCGCAAAGUGCAUAUGCGAGCCACAUAAAUGAAAAAUGACCGCAUAGUUGACAACUAAUUUAGCCAAACUUUCUACCUGAGUCUCCGAUGACUAUGUGGUUCGCAUAGUCAUUAUGCGACCACAUAGUUUUUGCUCAAUCUAGACCUCUAUUUCCUUCAAUAUCUUCAGCACUAGGACCAUGUUCAUGAUAUUUUACCUGUACUCUAGCACACACGUAAAGUUGUUUAAUAUAAUUUAUGUAAAUAAUAAAAAAACUCCAAAAAAAUGUUACUACACAUGGGUUUCCUCCCAAGAAGCGCUUGAUUUAACGUCGCGGCAUGACGCAGUUGACUCCUUUUGGAUUAUUCCUUGGUGGGAGCUACUGUUGGACUAUCCCUUAGAGCAAAUUGUUGUAUCAAAUGCCUUUAUCCUGUAGUACCAAUGUAGUGCUUGACUCGUUGUCCAUUUACCUUGAAAGUUCGAGUCCCAUCCUCCGAUUCCAGUUCAAUAGCGCCAUAGGGAAACAAACUCACAACUUUGAACGGUCGGACCAUUUGGACAUGAGUUUACCCGGAAAUAACUUGAGUCUUGAAUUGAAGAGUAAGACCAAGUCACCAGAAUUGAACUCUCGCUUCAAGAUCUUUUUAUCAUGGACAAACUUCAUCCUCUCAUUGUACAUGGCUGCACUCUCAUAGGCAUGGAUACGGAAUUCUUCCAUCUCAUUGACUUGUGUCAUCCUCAGGUUCGCAACCUCUGCCCAGUCAAGAUUCAGCUUCUUCAAAGCCCACAUGGAUUUGUGUUCAAGUUCCACUAGCAAGUGACAAGCUUCGCCAAAAACCAACCUGUACGGUGAAGUGUCAAUGGGGGUCUUAUAUGUUGUGUGAUAUGCCUACUACGCGUUAUCUAGCUUCCUUGACCAGUCGGUCCUGUUUGCAUUGACAGUUUUUGCUAGGAUGUUCUUGAUUUCUCUGUUUGAAACUUCAACCUGACCACUCGACUAAGGAUGAUAGGGUGUGGCCACCUUGUGCUUUACACCAUAUUUUUCAAGCAGCCCGGCGAAAGCCUUGUUGCAGAAAUGAGACCUACCAUCACUCAGGAUGGCCCUUGGAGUACCAAACCGUGUGAAUAUAUUCUUUUUCAAAAAUGUGUCACACUCCUUACUUCAUUAUUCGGUAAGGCGAUUGUCUUGACCCAUUUAGAGACGUAGUCCACAGCCACCAAGAUGUAGGUCAUGCCAUACGAGCUCACAAAGGGGCCCAUAAAGUCUAUCCCCCAUACAUCAAAGAUCUUAACUUCUAAUACAAAAUUCAUUGGCAUCUUAUGUCUUUUAGAUAUUGAUCCUUGUCUUUGACAUUGGUCACAUACCUUGACCAUUUGAUUUGCAUCUUCGUAGAUCGUUGGCCAAUAGUAGCCACAUUCAAGCACUUUUGUCGUCGUCCGAUUUCCUCCAUGAUGACCCCCAACCUGCGAAUCAUGGCAUGCCUUGAGAAAUUGGCAUUACCUCAUCUUUCGAAACACACCGCCAGAUGUUAUUGUCGAUACAAUUACGGAACAAAAAGGUUUCCUCCCAAUAGUAACACCUACACUCUCGCAAGAACUUUUUCUUUUGACAACCUUCCAAUCCAUCGAGAAUAAGAUCACUAACCAAGAAGUUAGCGAUGUUGGCAUACCAAGGAGAAAAUGUGUUAGACAAUGUCAAUACGUGUUCAUCUGGAAAAGCAUCAUUGAUCUCAAGAUCUUCUUUUGGUCUCCCAACCUCUUCAAGCCUAGAUAGGUGAUGCGCAACUUGAUUUUCUGACCCUUUCUGAUCCUUGAUUUCGAAGUCAAACUCUUGCAACAAAAGGACCCACCGAAUCAAUCUUGGUUUAGAAUCCUUCUUCGCCAUAAGAUAGCGAAGAGCAGCAUGGUCGGUGUAUACUAUCACUUUGGCCCCAACAAAUAAGCCCGAAAUUUCUCAAAAGCAUAGACAAUGCAAGAAGUUCCUACUCUGUCACAGUAUAAUUCAUUUGAGCGCCAUUGAGUGUCUUGCUUGCAUAAUAGACAGGGUGAAGAAUCUUGUUAUGAUGUUGUCCAAGCACCACCCCAAUAGCUACACCACUAGCGUCACACAUGAGUUCGAAUUGAAGAGACCAAUCGGGGGUGACAAUAAUAGGUGUCGUGGUGAGCUUUUCUUUCAAUUCCUCAAAGGCUUUGAGGCAAUUCUCAUCAAAUACAAAAUUUGCAUCUUUCUCAAGGAGUUUGCACAUGGUAUUUGCAAUUUUGGAGAAGUCCUUGAUGAAAUGCCUAUUCAAGCCGGCAUGCCCCAAAAAACUUGGGACACCUUUAACUGAAGUAGGUGGAGGAAGCUUGGAAAUGAUCUCGAUCUUUGCCCGGUCAACUUCUAUGCCUUGUUUGGAAAUUUUGUGGACCUAAACAAUGCCCUCGUCUACCAUGAAGUGGCAUUUCUCCCAAUUUAGCACAAGGUUUGUUUCUUCACAUCUCUUAAGCACUUGUCUAAGGUUGUCUAGAAAAUGCUCAAAAGAAUUACCCACGACAGAGAAAUUGUCCAUGAAUACCUCUAGAAAUCUUCCACCAUGUCUAAGAAGAUUGACAUUAUGCACCUUUGGAAUGUAGCCGGAACGUUGCAUAGCCCAAAUGGCAUCCGGCUAGACAAGUGAAUGUUGUCUUUUCCUGAUCUUCCAAUGAAAUAUUGAUUUGGUUGUAGCCGGAGUAUCCAUCCAAGAAGCAGUAGAAUGACCUUCACGCUAGCCGAUCAAGCAUUUGAUUAAUAAAAGGCAUAGGCAAAUGGUCCUUGCUCGUAGCAUUGUUUAGCUUUCGGUAAUCCAUACAAACCCUCAAUCCGGUCACUAAUCUUGUUGGGAUGAGCUCAAUUUUAUCAUUUUCAAUCACGGUCAUGCCUCCUUUUUUCGGCAUAGAUUGCACCGGACUCACCCAAGAACUAUCGGCAAUAGGGUAGACUACCCCGAUAUCCAACCACUUGAUGAUUUCUUUCUUUACCACCUCCUGCAUGGAAGGGUUUAACCUUCAUUGAUGCUCCACACUUGGUUUACUCUCAUUCUCCAAUUGGAUCUUGUGUUCGCAAAUUUCGAUGAGAAUCCCUUGGAUGUCCACAAUUGUCCACCCAAUAGCUUGCCUCUGCUUCUUCAAGACAUUCAAUAAUUGUUCUACCUGCACAUCUUUCAACAAAGAAGAAACGAUUACCGGUAGAGUGUCAUUUGAGCCAAGAAAUUUAUACCUCAAGUGCGGUGGAAGUGGUUUGAGCUCUAGUUGCGCAGCUCAAUAAUUGAAGGCUUUGCGAGAGGAGUGACUUUAUUCUCCAAGUCGAGAGAGAGUUUCUUUGGAGCAUAAGUGUAGGACCCAAGCCCUUCCAAUGUAUUUACUGAUUCCAUGUACCCCUCCAUAUCUUCGCCUUCGAAAUUUACCAAAAUAGCCGCCAACACCUCACCGAGGCAUUGUUCUUCCAUCUUCAUUUCAACUGCAUCUUCCACCUCAUCAACAACAUCAAUCACCGAGAUGCUUUCAUAUUCAUGUGGAAGUUUCAUACCCUUUCUUGCUUGGAAUGUGACCUCUUCAUCAUUCAUACGGAACUUGAUCUCAUUCCGUUCCGAAUCCAUCAAUGCUCUUCCUGUGGCAAGAAAUGCUCUCCCCAAGAUGAUAGGGAUCUCUUUAUCAACUACACAAUCAAGGAAUACGAAAUCGGCGGGCAAAUGGAACUCUCCCACUUUCACAAGCACAUCAUCGACAAUUCCCACCGGUCUCUUUAUGGAACGAUCGAACAUUUGCAACCUCAUACUUGUAGGUAUCGACAUACCUAACCCCGAUUGCUUGUAAAUAGCAAGAGGCAUUAAGUUGAUGCUAGCCCCAUUAUCAUAAAGAGCUCUUGCAAAAUCACGCGCCCCAAUAGUGCAUGGAAUGGUGAAAGCCCUGAGUCUUCUUUCUUUUGAACGGUGGUUGUUGCAAUGAUGGAACUAACCUGGUGAGUCACAUUUACCACUUCAUUCUUGGUGGUUUUCUUCUUGGUGAUCAAGUCUUUCAACUACUUAGCAAAACCUGGCAUCUCUUGAAAUGCUUCCACAAAUGGGAUAUUCACCGAUAACUGCUUGAGAAUGUCAUAGAACUUUUCGAGUUUGUUAUCAUCAACCUUCCUAGCACGUCUUUGAGGGAAAGGAGGAGGAGGUCUAGGAAUAGGUGGUAGAGUUUUUGAUGUCUCUUUUACCUUUUCCUUUACCUCUUCUCGAUUCAUUUCUUGAACUUUCAACUCUUCCGGAACCUUUUUAGCUUCAACAACAAUUGGCUCUUCAACUUGUGCCUCAACCACUUAUUCGGACUCUUCUACUUCAACCACUUGUUCACUCUCUCCUUGUAGUACCUUCCCACUCCGAGUAGUAAUUGCCAUGAUAUCAGAAGUUGAACCACUCCCACUACCCUUUGGGUUUGCAAUUAUGUCAUUUGGAAGUGUCCCUUUUUGCUUUGGAUUUUGUUCCUUAGAGAGAUCUCUCAUUUGCAUCUCCAAUAUUUGAAUGGAUUCGGUAUUAGAACCAACAAUCUUGGUCAUAUUCCUUAUAAAAGUGUCGGACCUUUCUUGAUUUUGCAAUACCCGUUCAAGCAUGCUUUCCAACUUGGAAUCACUUGAGGAACCUUGAUUUGAAUAUUGCCCCUUAGGUGGAACAUAAGGGUUUGAACUCCGAUUUAAGAAGUUGUUGUUAUUCCAAUUCCCUUGGUUUGAGCUACCUUGGUCAUUUCGCCACUGUUGGUUGUCUUGCCCUUGCUGGUUAGGCCUCCAUUGAUUUUGUUGUCCUUAACCUUGGUAUUGUUGCCUUUGAUAGCCUCCUUGAGAGUUGUUGACAUAGUUUGCUUCCUCAUAAUCUUCAUUUGAUGAGGGUUGCACAUCUUUCACCACAUUUACCUUCUUCGUUUGGCUUUGAAUGAACAUUUUUGUCAACACAUUGACAAUGGUGGCAAGCCCUGCAAUUACUUGAUCUCUUUCUUGGUUCUCCUUAAUCAUGUUGGUCAACGAGGGAGUAUCAUAUGUAAUUCCACCUGUGGUGUCCUAUGAGUGCCAUGCUUGGUUAUGUUUUGCCAUUUUGUCAAGGAUUUGUGUGAUCCUUGCAAAAGUCUUAUCCAUAAAAGAUCCAUCAGCUGUAUUCUUGGCUAUAGAUUGGUUCAUAGCAUCUAAACUCAUGUAGAAUUUCUCCAACAAGAUAGACUACGGAAAACCAUAAUUAUGCGACCUCACCAAAUAUAACUUGAAUUGCUCCCAUGCCUCAUGUAGAUGCUCUCCAGGUAGUUGCUUGAAAAAGAAAAUUUUAUCAGGGAGCUCAGAUUUCUUGCUUUGCGGGAACCAUUUAGCUAAGAAUGCUCGGACAAGUUCAGUCCAAGAAUGAAUGGAAUUUGGUGGCAUAUUUUGAAGCCAUUUCCUUGCUUCCCCGGCUAGUGAGUACUUGAACACCCUCAACCUUAGGGCAUCAUCCGUUGUUCUGCUUGUGCAUCGCACAGACACCCAAGAAUUUUCCAAGAUGUUGUGUCGGAUCAUCAUCAGUGGAAUUCCUGAAAAACCCCUCCGCUUUGAGCAUUAGGAUUAAACCAUGUUCCACCUUGAAAGUAGCAGCGCCAACUAUCGGAGGUACAAUAGCAUUUGUAUACUCAAUGUACUUAUCUAUGUCCGCAAAAGGAUUUUCUUCCAUUUCUUCCUCAUAUUCAGCCAUGUUUUCCUAUCUAUACCAAGCAAAACAAGCAAAGUGUGAUGGAAUAGAAGAAGACAUAAAGUAAAGCGCACACUAAUUAGUAAUUCCAAAACCGUAUUCCCUGAUAACAGCGCCAAAAUUUGAUACGCUCAAAUUAUACUUUAAUUAAAUAGUGUAAGGCGGUCGGUGUCAAAUAUAAUAACCCAACAAUGUUGGGGUCGAAUCCCACAGGGAAUAUGGUGUGAAAAGGUUACUUUAGUAGUGUGGAACUUGACUUAGGUCGCAAUUCUAUUCCGUUAACGUAACAAGAGAAUGAUAUGAUUGUGAAUUAAAGAGGUAACUAAUUGUAAUUUUGAGAAUGUAAAUUAUUUGAUUAAGGAAACUAAAGUUGUGUCCCCAUCAAUGGAAUGUAACGCUAUCAGUGUUAAUAUGAUAUAUUUCUAAUGGAAGGUCCUUUGAUAUGCAAUGAUUUCUAAAUGACUACCCAAUAUUUUCCAAUAAUUGAGUAGUAUUUUCCCUUUAUGAUUUUUCCAAAUACAAAAGAGUUGCAAUUUAAGAACAACCAAUUUAUACCAAGUAGAACCCAUUUAUUCCUAAGCGGUUCUAUUAAAAAAGAUUUAAAGUCUUAAGUUCUUGAUAUUCAAUUCUACCAAACCCUAACUCACUUUUUCAAGUAAAGAAAGAGUAAAAUGGAAUAGAUUAAUGUUUGUAACCACCAACCAUAAAUAAAGAACAAGAAUUGAAUAAAUAUCAACUAACCAUUAUAUAUAUUCAAUGUUAAACACCUAUUAACAUUACAUCCUUCUUCACAACCUUCCAAAUAAAUGGAGUAUUCAAUGCUCUCUAAGUAGGACCUUGUUUCAGACUUGAAUGACCCACAAAACCCCUAGUUAUUUUCUUUAUAGUGGACCAAAAAUUGUAGUCAAAAUCGGACAAAAAUGCCCCUCCAGUUAGCUUAUGCGAUCGCAUAAUGGUCGUAGACCAGUUAUGCGGUCUGCAUUCUUCAUUGCAUCGCAGACUUGCUGAGUUCCAGUUCUUGCUUCAGUCGCAUAACAAUUGUGCGGUCCGCAUAUGUGUUAUGCGACCGCAUAUUCCAUCGCAUAACAUGUUGAGAACUUUCUUCUACUGGAGUUAUGAGACCAUUAUGUGGCUCACAUAGGUGUUAUGCGACCGCAUAAUUGACCGCAUAUUUUCUUCUUCAUUUGGCCAAAAGUCUGUCCCUGUUUGCAAUCACCAUGUCAGUUAUGCGGUCCGUAUGUGAAUUAUGCGGCCGCAUACUUGUAGCAUAUCCAUCUUUUUGUGACUUUUUGACUUCUUUUCCAUGUUUUCGGGUCUUCAAGCUCAUGCACUACAAAAGAACCAAACUUGAUCAGAAUUAACUAAAGAUGCAUUAAAAGACAAGUGAAAAUCUAAGCAAUUGGUAUCGAUUAUGCCGAAAUUCUACGGCACAUCAAUGACGCCGAGUGAAAAGUUGUUGCAACUUUUAUAAUUUUUUUGUUUGUUUUGUUGUUUCUUUUUAUUUUGGGGGCCUGUUUUGGUCUUUUGUAAGGUGCGGCUGUUGCGCACGUGUAUUUAAAUAAAACAGUUGCUUUGCCUUUGUUUGCGUACCAUUUUAUUUUCUUUUUCUAUCCCUCCCCUUUGUUAUAUUUCUCUUUUUGGCGUAGACCUUCGAAUUUCUUUGUGAGGAGUCCCUGAUAUUUUUAGUUGGGAAAUCGACCUUGAGCUGAUUGGGUAGGAUCCCAUCGUAUGAGUCCGAAUGAAGUCAUUUUGGAUUUGCCAAUUCUGGCGAGAUUGACUUUUGGCUCGUCAGUUCGGGCGAAUUCAGCCUCAAUUCAAAAGAGGUCUAAUUGAGAUUCGCCAUCUUGGGCAAAGUCAAGCUCUGACUUAUAUUUGGACGAGUUCGAACUUGGAGUCGCCAUUUUGGGCGAAGUCAAUUUCUGACUUAAAUUUGAACGAAUUCGAACUUAGAAUCACCGUUUUGGGCGAAGUUAAUUUCUGGCUUAAAUUUGAACGAGUUCAAACUUUUUUUUAUUUGACGACUGUUGGUGGCUGUAAAGGUGUUUAUUCAAGCAAGGUCGGAGUUAUAACCUGUUAUAAUUUGAGCGAAGUCGAACUUUUUGUUUGGCGAUGGCCGUUGGACAUUGGCCGUAGGGGUGUUAUUUUGAGCAAGAUCGAAAUAGUAACCCGUUAUAAUUCGAGCGAGAUCGAAAUUCUCUUUUGGCGAUGACCGUUGGCCGUAGGGGUGUUAUUCCGAGCAAGAUCGAAAUAGUAACCCGUUAUAAUUCGAGCGAAGUCGAAAUUUUCUUUUGGCGAAGGCCGAUGACCGUAGGGGUGUUAUUUCGAGCGAGGUCAAAAUAGUAACCCGUUAUAAUUCGAGUGAGGUCGAAAUUCUCUUUUGGUAAUGGCUGUUGGCCGUAGGGGUGUUAUUUCGAGCAAGAUUGAAAUAGUAACCCGUUAUAAUUUGAGAGAGGUCGAAAUUCUCUUGUGGCGAAGGCCGAUAGCCGUAGGGGUGUUAUUUCGAGCGAGGUUAAAAUAGUAACCCGAUAUAAUUCGAGCGAGGUCGAAAUUCUCUUUUGAGGAUAGCCGUUGGCCGUAGGGGUGUUAUUUCGAGCAAGAUCGAAAUAGUAACCCGUUAUAAUUCGAGCGAGGUCGAAAUUCUCUUUUGGCGAAGGCCGAUGGCCGUAGGGGUGUUAUUUCGAGCAAGGUCGAAAUAGUAACCCGUUGUAUCAUUAUUAUUAUUCUUUUUUUGGGGGAACAUUACAUGUCGCCAUACUGCUCAUGUGUGCGUUGGAGUGAGCCUCGGUGUGCUCGGUUUUGUCUUUACUGGAGAAUACUGAGCAUUUCCUGGGCGAGUCCCGGUGUGCUUAAUUUGCUUUCAUUGGAGAAUGUUGUACGUUUCCUGGGUGAGUCCCAGUUUGCUUAAUUUUGCUUUAUUGGAGAGUGUUUUUCGAUAGUUGAUCUGUACUGAGCCAUUUCUGUUAUUUGUGAUAUGCUGCAGCUUAGAGGGUUUUGCUUGAUCAUUAGUUGCGAGAUGGCAUGUUGCGGAACCAUUUCCUGGGGUGUUUUGGCGGUGUUGGUCCCUCACUCGCAUACUUAUGCGAGUGCCCGCGUUUCUGUUUCAAACCAAUCAAAAGAAUGAAGAUAAAUCCAAAUGAAAUUGUCUGUUACCUCAACCUAGCAAGCAGGUGAAAGGAGGAGCGGUGUUGUAGGGUUACUUGCUCCGCCUAGUACUCGAACAGUGGUUUUUGAUUUCGUAGCCACGUUUCAGCUUUGCCAUUUAAGUGCGUCUAGAAUUCUCGUGAGUUGGGCUUACCUUACCCGUUGGGACAACGAGGUCGAGUCCCAGUCCGAUAUGCGUAAACAAUAAGGGAAACAUGUCAUGCUUUAUUUAUAAAUCAUCCAGCGUGCGUGCUACAAAAAUAACGCGGGAUAUGCCCGAUCUUCCAAAGGGUCAUGCAGUAGGUUAUCAUCCCUUCCCAAGGGGCGGAAGUACAGGUUGGUAUACAGGGUGAAUACAUCGCAUGGGAUCGCGGUCAUGCCAAGCACAUAGUGACUGUGGUUCCAUUUCACUCGCGCAAAUGACUUGCUAAACCCACUGUUACGGGUGGGGCAUGGGUCUCGUAUAGACAUCGCUCAUAAUUUUUAUUUUGUGUAGGGAUAUGACCUAGAUUGACAAGGUUAUUUCAAAAACUUAUUUACCAUUUUUUAGUUGGUGUUGUCACCAAGAUAGUGAGGUUGAAGCAGCCUGGAAGUAAUACUUUGCUGGUUCUAGAUCUAAAGAAAACUAAAGAAUUUGGCGAAGAAAUCUCCACAGACGGCGCCAAAUUGUUUGACCAAAAAAGUAUUAAACCUUUUAGUUAAACUAAUUAAUAAAGAGAUGGAGGGUAAAUCUUAGCCAAACAUAAUUAACUCUAGAUCCAAACAUAUUGAGUACAAAAAUCGAAGAAGACCAAACUUGUAUAAUGUUUCUUAAGAUGAUUAACAAACAUCAAAUGUAAAUGAUAAACUUACAUAUUUGACAUGCUUGCACCAUACUUGCAAGAGCACGGAAGGAAAAGAGGAAAAGUUGUUGAUAACUAAGAGAUCUAUCUUUAUUGAUUCAAUAAUAAUGAUUAUAAAAAGUUGUAGCCAAAUAUGGGUUGGGGUUUGUUGUUGGUGAUCUCCUCUUGUUCUCAUUUUUGAUACAAUGCUCUUCUCCUUUAUGGAAUCCGAUCCCCGCCCUCUUGCCUUCUUCUUUCAUAUAUAUAUAUAUAUAUAUAUAUAUAUAUAUAUAUAUAUAUAUAUANNNNNNNNNNNNNNNNNNNNNNNNNNNNNNNNNNNNNNNNNNNNNNNNNNNNNNNNNNNNNNNNNNNNNNNNNNNNNNNNNNNNNNNNNNNNNNNNNNNNNNNNNNNNNNNNNNNNNNNNNNNNNNNNNNNNNNNNNNNNNNNNNNNNNNNNNNNNNNNNNNNNNNNNNNNNNNNNNNNNNNNNNNNNNNNNNNNNNNNNNNNNNNNNNNNNNNNNNNNNNNNNNNNNNNNNNNNNNNNNNNNNNNNNNNNNNNNNNNNNNNNNNNNNNNNNNNNNNNNNNNNNNNNNNNNNNNNNNNNNNNNNNNNNNNNNNNNNNNNNNNNNNNNNNNNNNNNNNNNNNNNNNNNNNNNNNNNNNNNNNNNNNNNNNNNNNNNNNNNNNNNNNNNNNNNNNNNNNNNNNNNNNNNNNNCCUUCCUAUUUAUCCAACGGUUUUUACCCAGCGGACCCUCUCAUGACUAUAUCCUUUCUUACUUGCCUGGGUAGUACGACGUAUGCAUUGUCGUGCAGGUCUUUUGACGGCUCGAUCUCGACAGUAGCUGAGGUGGUCGCGGCUGUUAUGUCUCGUAGGUACGACUGCGACGUGGUCGACUCCUAUCAUUCCUUUUAAGGACAACCAUCUUAUGGUCAGAUUUUGACCCAUACAAAUGCCCCAAGAAAGUCCUAGUCCACCCAAACGAACGGCCCGUUGAAUUACAACGGAUCAUAAAGAGAAAUAUAUAAGAAUGAAAGAGAAGAAAGAUAACAGCAUUACUUGUGAUUUGUUUUCGAGAAAGAAAAAGAAAAAAAAUUAUGUGCACUAAUUCAUCAAAGUAAGUACCUUUUUAUCAAGAUUCUCAGGCUGACUGCCACGAAUAGCGAAUAAGAAUAAAGAGACAACUGGAAGUCUGGAAUAUGGUUUCUGUCGUUUUUCUUUCUCUUUUGCUUUAAAAUAUACUCCUCUAUUUUCCAUUUAAUAAUUCGUCAUACAUUUAAUGAAAUGGUCAAGGGUUAAUCAACAACUAUAAAUGGAAUUCUUUUGUCCUGCACUGUGUAGUGAUUAAGAUCUCUUCUUUUUUCCUAAUUAGUUUCAGGAUAUACUAUAAACCAUGAGUAUUGUUAUAAUAUUUUUUAUGGAAUAAUUAUUUUUUUAUUUAUUUAAUUUAAUAAAAUUUUAUUUUAAAUAGAUCAUAUAUUUAUCUGUGUGUCCUUUGCUUAUAUAGUAAAUGAUUUAGUGUAUAGAGUUUAACUUAUACACGGAAGAUUAAAUCAUCGGUUCUUAUAAGUCAUAAAGUUUAUGUUCACAAUCUAAUGAUGGAAUUGGACAAACCAUCAGAAUGGUUGUAACACAAGAUCAAAUAUAGUUAAACUUGAUUAUGAGAAUGGUUUAAUUCCGACUUCUUGUGCUAUUACAUUUCGUAUGUAUUGGACGGAUAAAGUAUAGACAAGUACUUUAUACUGACUUAAUAAAAUAAUUUCUCAAGUCCAUUCAAUGUACUUAUACUCUUAAUCUUGAUAUAAUUAUUAUUAGUUGUGUGUGUCAUUUAUUGUUUUGAUUUGUUAAAAGGCGAGAUUCUUUCAUGAGUUAAGCCUGGUAAAUUAGACGAUAAUGAUAUACAUUGGCGAAGUAAUAUAUAAUUAGUUGAUAGAAUCCAUGUCUCGACUCAAGAGAUUGAUGAUACUCCUUUAUGAAAGCUUAUAAGUUUUCAUGUGUAAACACGGCCGAUAGAUUUUGUAUCCAACACAUAAAAAUUAAGCGAAAGUCUAAAGGAAGUAAUCAGUAAAUUAAAUUGUUAGUAAUAUAAUUUGAUUGAUUAGUAUCUGAAUCUUAACAUGGGAAGCUAAAUAAGGUUUUAUGAAAAUUUUUUAAAUUGAAUUAAGGAGUGCAAUUACGAAUUUUUAGUGGAAUAAUUCGUAUUUUAUUAAUUAAUUCCAUAAUAGGGAGCCUUGUUAAUUAAAUUCUGUGAUCCUUACUGUGCUUAAAUAAUAGGAAAUAAAGGAAACUUUUCCUUUUGGGAAAAGAAAACCUAACAGGUUUUGGAAAAGGGUUUUACCCUAAAAAACGUGGCUAUAUAUAUCUCAUAUAGGGCUAGCCGUUUUUUUCACUCGUUUUCCUUGGAAUUUCGCUCACCCGAAAUUCUCUCUCUUUCCGGAUAUUAUUUGGGUAACACAGUAAAAGACUGUGAGACGUUUUGCUUAGGUUACGGUCUUGCUACUCUGGAACUGGAGACCGAGAUUAAUCUGAUUUGUUCACGCUUCAAGAGGUAACUCGUAUAAUCUCCAUAUGUGCUAAUUAUUUAAUUUACAUGUGAAUAUGAUACUGAAAUUGCUUUCGCUGCGAAAUAUAAUCCAACAAUUACAUUAUAUUUUCAGUUGACAUUUUUCUUUCUCCAACGAUUCAAAAUAUCAAAUACUAAUAUUAGCCCAUGUUAUUUCAAAUUUGCUUCGACCCGUAUCAACUACUAACAAUUUUACUUUUUCAUAUUUUAAAAUCAUUGUUUUGAAUUACUGUUAUUACCAAAAUCAAUAAUCUAUUCGAACUGUUUAUUUUAGUAACAACAACGUCCAAUUAAGUUUAUUUAAUUGUGACAGAGGAAUUAAUUCCUAAUUCCUAGGAGUAUUAAAGGAGGAAUUAAAAAGGAACAAAAAAGAAAAUAUGGUAACAUAUAUCAUUUGUAUCAUAUUAAUUAUCAUUUGUCACUUUUUCCUUAUUCUGGAGGCCCUAAAAUGUUGUUGUUGUACCAAGGAUACCAUUGGAAAGCACAAUCUCCACCUUUUUCAUAGUGUCAAAAACUAUGGUAAAGAACUGACCAUGAAUUAUCAAUAAUGUGCACAGAGACUAAUAAAUUCGAAAUUACACCAUAGAAUAGGAUGAAUACAUUUAUCCAAUACGAAAUAUUAGUAAUAUCAGCAAUGAUGUAGCUAGAACUAAGCGUGUGAUUCUUCAAAUAGUAAGUACUUGAGCCUCUUUAUUCCGCAACCUAAAGUGCAAAAGAAGAUUAUUCCUAACUGUCCUUUUAGAAGCAUAUGAGAUUUCCUCCGAAUCCACAUUCUUUGUGUAUGGCAAUUUGACACACCAUCUUUAUUUUUCACCAUUUGUUGUUGCUCCUCUCUAUCUCUAAUUAAUUGGCCUUAGUUUCUUCUUGCAGCCUGCGCAUUGUCUAAACCUGAAACGUAGUAUAUUUUAUUUGGAUAAAACAAUGAAGUAAACAAACACUGAUGUUAUACAACAGUUAAUUCUGAAAUUUGGGUACGAACAAAGUCCCACUCAAACUUCAAUAAGAAAAACACGUUACAUAAAACAUAAAGAUUUUCCUAAUGAUGUUAAAACAUUUUAAGGAAAAAUUGUGUUGAUUUAGCUAAAAUGAACAAUAUGACACCAUAAUAACAAUAUGACACCAUAUUAAAUAGUGCUUUAGGCUAAAUUAGACCUGUAAUUUUAAGGUCUAUAGGGACAGUGAAAGGCAUGCAACGGCAAGAAUGAGACAAGUAACGAAGGGAUGAUUCUUGAAAUGAACGGAUUUGCUAGAAAUAGUUGAAGGUGGUGUGAAAUACGGGUAGAUGGAAGGAUUAUUAUAAGGCGGUGUUAGAGGCUGCAGAGAGCAGUCUUCCGGGCAAGAACGGGGUGGUAAGGGAGGCGGUGGACAAUUAUUGACUGGUGAUGAGGGUGGGGGAGGAGACGGUGGAGGUGGGGGAGGCAGUUCCGGGGGCGGCGGUGACGGUGGAGGAGGGCAUGGAAGUGGAGGUGACGGUGGAGGAGGGCAUGGAAGUGGAGGUGACGGUGGUGGUGGAGACAAAAUAGGCUGACAUGGGUUUUCACAUUCGGCGCACAUAUUGCAAGCUAUUUGGUCUUUGGCCAUUGCUGUGAUUGUUGACAUAGCUUGAAUAAUUUGGACAUUGAGUGAAAGGAGAAGAAGCAAAUUGAAACUGCACAAAAUGAAUUGAGAAUUUGGAGGAGCCCCCAUUUUCGAGAAGGCACUUAACUUCAAUGUAUCAAAAUGUAGAAAUACAAUAAGUUGAUGGAGAAGUGGGGAUAUAUGAAGACAAUGGUUGUGGCCAGUGGGGUUGAUAUGACGGACCAGUGCAUGACCAAUAAGGCCUGUGGUAGAGUAGAGUAAUAAGUACUCUUUAAUUCUUAAAUAAAUAUCUUAAAUUCAAAUUCGGAGGAUGAAAUUGCUUUUCUUAAGAAACGCUUUACCUCCCAUGCAAGAUUUUUUAGCGCGAAUUCUGAUUUAGUCGUACCUCAAUACAAGUACCAAACACCGGAUGAAAAAAAAAAGACUAAUGCAUGUACAUUGAUGACCGCACGCACAAUUCCUAGAACCCUAGUGUUUUAUCUUCUACGCUACCAAUAUUUGUGUGACAAAUAACAAUGCCCAUUGCAAUUUUAUAUUGGAAAAGGCGUCUGGGUGGCUUGAACUGUUAUUUGCAUAUUUAACAAGUAAUUAAGCAGCAGGUAAGUAGAAGCUUUAAUUUCUCUGAAAAUUCCAGCAGGCACGGCGCUCUCGGGGCAUUCAGUUUGAAAAUCACCGUCAUGUUGAGAAUUCGAGUCUUUAUGACUCUUUUACCACGUAAAGUUCAAUUGGACCUUCCUUUCUUUCCUACAAUGUAAACACAAACACACACAAAAAGAGUUUCACUUUAUACACUGAUAGUGUAAUUUAUUAUUACUAGAUUGCCUAUAAGAUUAUUAUAUGUAAGAUUACCAAUAUAAAAAAUAUAUACAGUUUAAAAGAGAAAUGAACAACCAUCUUAACUACCUCCUACAACUUGGUAACCUUUAUUUUUCAACUCCAGAUUGACGUACGAUAUGAAGAGGUUAUAUAUUUUUGUUGCUUUACCACUCUUGUGCUACCUAAUGUUUGACCCAAAAGAUAUUGAAUCCUUUUUGGUUAAAUCAAUUAAACAAGAUAGAAAGGUUAAUCUCAGCCAAGUAUAAUAAAUUCCAAAACGAGGGACAUGAGGGGUGAAUAAGAUAAAUAGAAUCUAUUGAUCUCUUGAAACAGAAUGAUUGAGUGUGUAAAAAAAAAUGAUCAUCAACAAUGUCGAAUCAGUAUUACAAAAGCAAGUUCUUAGUUGAAAAGAAUCCCCCCCCCGCCCAUACAAAGUUACUUCCUUCCUAUAUAUAUAAGGGACAACCCCAUCUGAACCCUAGGAGACAUACUAUAGGGAAUAUUCGAGAGUAUAUUCCUAAUGCACCCUGUUAGGCCUACGCUACUACAAAAGUCAUACGUCCUUCAUCCGUUGUCGGCCGUCGUUGUCAUCCAUAGGACGUUAUGCUGUGGAGACCUCAUCUUUGGUCGUAUUUGACGGUAGCCGUGGUCGACCAAAUUUAGACUCAUACAGUUAGUCCCUCCGCUUGUCGAGGUUGCGACUUGGAGCAUCCUUGAUGAGCGGACACCGCCCACACCUCCAUGUGCGUCAUCAUUAUGCGUAUUUUCGAGACAGGGGCUGAGGGCUUGUCGCUUCGAUUUCGGUGCCAUUCUGCAGCCUUCCGCUUCGAUUCUGGCGCCACCCAAUCCUAUAAAUAGAUGGAGGGUUUGUAUUUUCAAAAACUCUUGGCCAUUUCUUCUUUGAUUAUUCCUUACCUUCUCUCCUGCUUUUGCUCUAGCAAUUCUCUUUGCUUUCUCUCUGUAUGUCGUCCUUGGCUUUUUCUGUUCUGUCAAAACAUUCGUCACCAUAAUAUGCCUAAAUCACAUCGAUCUUGUGAGGGGGUUUCUGACGCCACCCCGUUAUCCGUGGCACGCCCCCUACCAGCGGUGAGGAUGCGAUGGUGGAGGAAGGGGAUAGCUUUCCCACCAUGGAGGAGUUGUUGUCGAGACAUCCUUCGUCUCGAAGCGAUUUCCUUAAGGACCCUCCUUCUACUCCUGCCCUCGUACUUUCUGAAACUGAGCAAGUCCAUAUCGAUGCUCUCCGUGCAAAAUAUAGCAUUCCUGCUAAUAUUGAGAUGGUUCCAGCGGGAGGGGACUUCGUGGAAGUCCAUAGGCCUGGGUACUACAGGCCUGGGUACUACACCUUCUAUGAGUACCCCUUUGUGAUUGAUCAUUCCUUCCACCUUCUCCCAUUAGCGGAAGAAUUCUGUCGAUUCUGCCAAGUUUGCCCGGCACAACUUUCCCCGUACACGCUCAAAAUACUCAUGUUGUUGAUAAAAUAUGCGGAGUUGGUGGGGUGCGAGAUUACCGUUCACCACCUUCUACAUUUGUUUUCACCCAGCUUUCAUAGGGGUACUAUGGUACAUCUGAUGCACCGUGGGACAAAAGGGCUGGUGGUUGGAACCGAUGAUCGGGCGAAUUGCAAAUUUUGGCAUAAGUACUUUUUCGUCAGAACUGAACACAGCGUGUUUGACCCCGCUAGAUUUCCGGAGCGGUAGAACGAGAAUCGUAAGUUUUGCUACUUAUUUAUUCUUCCUUUUCUUCUUUAUUCACCUUAGUGCUUACUUGCUUCUCUUUUGUAGCUAUAGGGCACCCGCCCUGCCCUAUCGCGGGUAUAAGGGAUUGGGCAGCCCAUCUGCUACCCCAUGCAAUGGAGACUCGAGAUUGGCACGCUUUCGUGAAACGCUUUGGACCGAAAGUUUCUUUCGGUAAGUGUCUUCCUCUAUGCCGCUAUCUGGUCAUUGGUCGUCAUACCUACUGAUAUGGCUUUCUAUGACGACAGGUCGUUGUGCUUCUAGGCGUAGGGCCCCAGUCCCUGCAUUUCCACAGGCCGUCGCUGCUGCAAGAAUGCAAUUUUCUAUGAGUGAGUCCGUCCGAGAAGGUCGUACUCAAUCGAUACAGGUGGGAGAUUCUUCUCGCGAAAUGGUCGUGAGGGAAGGAACCUCUUCCUUACUGGUCUAUCACCCCUGUGGACGAGUCCUCUAAUGGGGACGAACCAUUAUCGAGGAAAAAGAGGAGGGUGGAGCUUCGAAAGGGCGUGGCUGCUGAUAUUGGUAAGAAUAGGACGGGUGUGUCGCAUACGGCACCUAUGCCCGCAUUUAUGGCCGACGCGAUCUUGGCGGGGAGGUCUCCCCAAACAGAAGGGGUUUAACAAGGAGGUGGGUCCAUGCACUCCUUUGAGCGUGGCACUUCGUCCAAUGUCGGAGGGGGCCUACGCGUCGAGGGCGAAGACUCAGGCUCGGAUGUUGACCCGGGGGAUGUUCAUGAGUUUUUGAAGCGUCACACUCACGUAGAUGUCAAAGUGGAGGGUUCUGAUCGGCAUAUAGUUGUCCCUGGGGACUACAACUUGUUGUCGGACUGUGAUUAGGUGGCGUUUGCUUUAGCUCCUUUAUGUGCUGUCCCUGAGAACGAGACGCUUAGAGCGAUGAGAGAUAUGGAGUUGUCUCGGAGCGUCUCUAGCAUGGCCUUGCGGGUAGAUAUCUUUCUUUUCAUUUUGUCGUUGGGUUUGUGUUAUUGUUUUUGGCCUGUCCUUUUGUUUUAACUUCACUUUUUUUUUUCUUUUUUU
rnacentral:lncRNA from 1 species